rnacentral:rRNA from 1 species
AUUGAACGCUGGCGGCAGGCCUAACACAUGCAAGUCGAGCGAGCGGCGGACGGGUGAGUAAUGUCUGGGAAACUGCCUGAUGGAGGGGGAUAACUACUGGAAACGGUAGCUAAUACCGCAUACCAUCAGAUGUGCCCAGAUGGGAUUAGCUAGUAGGUGGGGUAAUGGCUCACCAAGGCGACGUUCCCUAGCUGGUCUGAGAGGAUGACCAGACACACUGGAACUGAGACACGGUCCAGACUCCUACGAGAGGCAGCAGGGGGGAAUAUUGCACAAUGGGCGCAAGCCUGAUGCGGCCAUGCCGCGUGUAUGAAGAAGGCAUUCGGGUUGUAAAGCACUUUCAGCGAGGAGGCGUUGCUCGCAGAAGAAGCACCGGCUAACUCCGUGCCAGCAGCCGCGGUAAUAC